rnacentral:lncRNA from 14 species
GUAAAUGUGUGACAGAGCAAACUAAUCUCUUUUUGUUUUGUUUCUGUGUUGUUGCAGAGUUUAAGGCAGCAUUCAGAGCCUGUGCUGGGAGAUUCUGGAGACAGCUGUGCUAAGGGGGCAGAGCCAGAUGGUCACCCGACGACUACUCCACAGAGCCUAGAAGACCUGGCAAGAGAAGGAAGGCAGGAAAGUCCAUCCAAUCCUGUUCAUCUGGACGUUGGGCAGCUCUCAGACCAAACCCACCAGGAGGAGAAAUGCAACAGCAGGAGUUUGGGAGCUUUUAAUGAUGUGCCAAAUGACUUGCUGAGCCUGGGGGAUGCACAGAACCCAGAGUGCUUCUGUGAAAGUAAAAACGUGACGUUGAGUAAAAAGGAAGAGGAGGGGCUGACCUCCACUGAAGGCUCUGGGACUGCAUCGGAUGGGAAGGACUGCACAGGGAGCCUGUUUGCAAGCGUAAACGGUGCCGUACAUCUUCCGUCCUGUGGAAAUACAAAUGAGGAAGCUGGAAUGACAUCUGCUGGAGUUGUUCUGGAUCAAGCUGGCUUGUGCGGUAAAGACAAGCCCCAUCAGGAAGCGCAAGGUGCUGAGGAGCAUUCAGCUGCUUCUGUGGUUGAAACUGCAGGUGAAGCCCCAGCUUCCUUGGAGGGUGUGGAUGUGGCUAUGGGCCAAACUGAGUGCAGGAACUGUGCAGGGGCAGCAGAGAGGGCUGCGGGCCAGCAGCAGGCAGAGGAUGGGAUAGCUGAGGCUGGUGAAAGGCGGACUGCAAACCUAGAACAACAGUUGCCAGCUAAGGAAGAGUCAGCCAGUUCUGCUCAGCCCUUACUGAGUGCUUUUAAUGGUACUGAGUGUGCAGAUGGGGAGGAUGAAGAUGCAGGAGUGGUACCAGCAUGUGAUGAUACAGAUGCAGAUGCUGGCACUGGAGAGCUCUCUGCUGACCUGUGCAAGACUGUUGAUAACAAGGAGGCUGGAGCAGACUCAUGCACUAAUCAAGUAAACAGUGGCUUCUUGGAAAGCCAAGGUGAUGCCCAUGUCACAGCAAGUCAGGAUGUUACUGUGAGCACUGGGGCAGCAUUGCCAGCAGUGAAUGGGGUGAAGGUUCCUGCAUGUGCAUCACAACCUGCUCCUGGUUUGGAAAUCAAUGGCAGUGGUAAGAGUGGGGAGCAAGAAGAGCAGGUGGAAGCAGGUUGCAUGGACAGGAAAUCCAGCUUGGCUUCCCUGGAAGACAGUGUAGAAACUGAUGGCUCUGAUGCUAAACCUGCAAACGAUGAUGUUGGUGGAUCUAAUGAAAGCAAUGCAGAACCUGCAUGUGUCCGGGAGAGCAAUAAGAUCACUGAAGCAAUGGAGGGCAGCGAAGGCCAUGAGGAGGAGCCAGUAGGAACUGAUACCAGCAGCAGUGGAGAUGGAGGAAGCGCAGAUUCUUCAGGCGGAGGUCAGGAAGUUGCUAGCGGUUGCCCUUGUGCUGAUCAAACUGUUGUUAAAGAUGAAAUGGGUGACAGCUUCAAACCGGAUGCUGCUCAAGAG